UACGGGGGGGGCAAGCGUUGUUCGGAAUUACUGGGCGUAAAGGGCUCGUAGGCGGCCCUCUCAGUCGGAUGUGAAAUCCCCAGGCUUAACCUGGGAACGGCAUCCGAUCCUGGAGGGCUUGAAUUCGGGAGAGGGAUGCAGAAUUCCAGGUGUAGCGGUGAAAUUCGUAGAUAUCUGGAGGAACACCGGUGGCGAAGGCGGCAUCCUGGACCGGCAUUGACGCUGAGGAGCGAAAGCCAUGGGAGCAAACGGG
rnacentral:rRNA from 1 species